rnacentral:rRNA from 1 species
CAGCAGCCGCGGUAAUACGAAGGGGGCUAGCGUUGUUCGGAUUUACUGGGCGUAAAGCGCACGUAGGCGGAUGAUUAAGUCAGGGGUGAAAUCCCGAGGCUCAACCUCGGAACUGCUUUGAUACUGGUCAUCUUGAGUCCGGGAGAGGUGAGUGGGACUGCGAGUGUAGAGGUGAAAUUCGUAGAUAUUCGCAAGAACACCAGUGGCGAAGGCGGCUCACUGGCCCGGUACUGACGCUGAGGUGCGAAAGCGUGGGGAGCAAACAGGAUUAGAUACCCCUGUAGUCCCUGUCUCUUAUACC